GAGGAAAGUCCGGAACAAUUUUAACAAGGCUCACCUGUAGAAUAACAAAAUGAGUUUCUGAACAUCAAAUCAAUAACUUAAUCAUCACAAGUCAGGUUCAAAUUCCGGUGCAACACUGAUUGCAGCUGUCUCCAAAAUGCAUUCAUCAGCCCCAUCACAGACACGCUCAAUUUCCACAGAACUUGUCUGCAUAUCAGAACAGAAAAUUUCAGGUGAUUCGAAGUGAUCAAUGGUGAUGUUUCUGAGAGAAAAAUUAAAAUUGGGAUGAGGCACCAACUUUGCUUGACCACGUGCAGCGUUUAUUAUAC